AUCAGAACAGCCACAUCAUUCUGUGUGGUCAGAUUUCUCAGUACAAUAAAGACGUGCCCUAUCCUCCUCCGCUGCCCCCUGCUGUAGAAGCAAUCCAGAAGGAAAGAAACAUCACAAGGUGUGUCCUCCCUUUGCCCUUCCCACCACGUUCACAGGGGCAGGGCUGGAGAGUUUCCUUACAUAGAUGGGAAAUGUAUUCAGUUACAGCUUUUUUCUUAUUAGGUAAAACUGAAAAGUCUGUACUUAAGGCGGCUCAAUAUUUAAAUUUUGGUUCCCUCAUUCUCAGACGACUAAUAGUUCAAGUUUUUGACUGGAUGAAAUCGUGUGAGCGUGGGGAAAGAAUGUUAUCCACAAAGGAGAAAUCACAAUGAUGUUGCCAAAUAGGUUAGAGAGAUAAGCAGACAGAAGCAGUCAAAGUUUAGUGCACUUACCCGCCUGUGCGUACAACUCAGGCAGAGUCUAUAAUGUACCUUAACUACACCUACAACUGUACCUGACCAGACUCUGCAUGAGUAUAUGCUAACUUAAAGACUAACAAAGGUACUGCCAUUUAAAUAUUUGACUUCAGGUUCUCUUGAAAUGUUCUCUAAUCAUUAUUCUUUUAUUGUCUAUUUACAGAGAGAGAUUUAUGGUAUUAAAUUAUAAAGAUAGAUUUGAGCCUGGAAUUCUACAGCUGAGUCAGUGGUUUAAAGAAGGAAAGCUAAAG
rnacentral:lncRNA from 1 species